CAAUGGCCUCCUGGGCCAGAACCAGGUAAUCCUUCAGCAUGUGCUCCUGCUCCCGCCGCCAUUGCACCCGAGGGUCCUCUAUCUGAGUCGUUUCUUGGAGAGAAAACACAAGAAAGCAAGAUCAACAGAACGCAGGACUGACUGUUGAUCCACAAUGAAUUCCAAUGAGUUCUGCCAUGCUGAAUAGAAUAAUCCACAACAAAACUGUCAUGUAACUCUCCAACUUGUCUGCUGCUGAAGCUGCCCUGGUUCUGGCUCUUAAAAACAUCCACCCAAGAAUAUGCAUACACAGUUCUAAGAUACUGACUGUUAUACUUAUCUUUAUUGCAACUGCUUUAUAACAUUACUAAUAAAAUACCUCUAGUAUUUCACUGAUAAAACUUUCACAAAAUAUCAUUGCCACAUAACUGCAUUAUACUGCACCUGACAACAUGAAAGCAAUUACAGCUCUGCCCAUCCUCUUUGGCUGCCAAAUGGCUUUUAUUGCAAGGGGGAAAGAAAACCUGCUCACUCAGAUUCCAGAGGCAAGUAAAAAUAAAGUGUGAUUAAAUCACAGAUUUGUGAAAGCAUCUUAAAUGACAUUAUAGGAACAGAAUCUCAGAGAGGAGUAAA